UUAAAUUUAAAAUUUAUUUAAUAUUUAAUUUAUUGAGUUUUAGUUAAAAUAAUAAAAUUUUGAGUAAUUUGUAUUGAAACAAUUAAUUUAAUGAUAGUUUACUUAACUGUAAAGGUUAUUUUAAUUUUAUAAAAGCAUAAUUUAUUUUAGUACCUUUUGUAUCAGGGUUUAUUAAAAAAUUAUAUUUACAGAUAUUUUUCUCGAAAUUAAAGGAGAUAAGUUUUUAUGUUUUUUUAUGUAAUAAAAUAAUUUAUAAUAAAAACUUAGUAAUUAUAUGUUAUUCAACUUUAUAUAUCUAGUUGUUUAAUAAAUAAAUUUAAUUUAUAAUUAUUAAAGUUAAUAUAUGUAUAUAUUUUAUUUAAUUUAAUAAUUAAAUGAUUUGGGGGAUAAGCUCUGGAUUUAUUCUAUAAUUUAUUUUGAUUUUAAUAUAAAUAGGCUUAGAAACAGCUAUUUAAAUUUCGUUAUAGUUUAUAUUAAUUAAGUUUUUAUUUUUUAAUAUUUAGAUUUUUAUUAAACCUAAUUAAAUAAUUUUAUUUUAGUUGUGAUAAUGAUAAAAUUAGUAGAUUUGUAAUUUCAAGUAUAGUAAUUCGGCAAUUUUUAUCUUCGCCUGUUUAACAAAAACAUGUCCUAUAGGUUAAUAAUUUUAGGUCUAGCCUGCUCAAUGAUUUAUUAAAUAGCCGCAGUAUAUUAACUGUGCAAAGGUAGCAUAAUCAUUUGUUCUUUAAAUGGGAACUUGUAUGAAUGGCUGAACGUGGGAUAAACUUUCUUUACUUGAUUUAAUUGAAUUUGAUUACUUAGUUAAAAAGCUGAGAUAUUUUUGUUAGACGAGAAGACCCUAUAGAAUUUUAUUAUUAUUAAUUAUUUUGAUAUAGUUUUUAAAAAUUUAUUUAUUAAUAAUUUUGUUGGGGUGACAUUGAAAAUUCUUUAACUUUCAAUAUAAAUUUUUCAUUAAUAAAUGUUUAUUUGAUCCUUUAUUUGGAUAAUAAGUUUAAAUUACCUUAGGGAUAACAGCGUAAUUUUUUCGGAGAGUUCAUAUCGAUGAAAGAGUUUGCGACCUCGAUGUUGGAUUAAAUUUAAGUUUUGGUGUAGCAGUUUUAUACUUAGGUCUGUUCGACCUUUAAAAAUUUACAUGAUCUGAGUUCAGACCGGCGUGAGCCAGGUUGGUUUCUAUCUACAAUAAGAUUAUAUAUUUUAGUACGAAAGGACCAUUUAUAUAUAAAAUUUAUUAUAUUUUGUUUUACAUUAA
rnacentral:rRNA from 1 species